AUUGAACGCUGGCGGCAGGCCUAACACAUGCAAGUCGAGCGGAGCGGCGGACGGGUGAGUAAUGCCUAGGAAUCUGCCUGGUAGUGGGGGAUAACGUCCGGAAACGGGCGCUAAUACCGCAUCACAUCAGAUGAGCCUAGGUCGGAUUAGCUAGUUGGUGGGGUAAAGGCCUACAAAGGCGACGAUCAGUAACUGGUAUGAGAGGUUGAUUAGUCACACUGGAACUGAUACACGGCCCAGACUCCGACGGUAGGAAGCAGUGGGGAAUAUUGGACAAUGGGCGAAAGCCUGAUCCCGCCAUGCCGCGUGUGUGAAGAAGGUCUUCGGAUUUUAAAGCACUUUAAGUUGAGAAGCGUUACCAGCAGAAUAAGCACCGGCUAACUUCGUGCCAGCCGCCGCGGUAAUAC
rnacentral:rRNA from 1 species